rnacentral:tRNA from 1 species
GCCUGGCUAGCUCAGUCAGUAGAGCACGUGACUCUCAAUCUUGGGGUCAUGAGUUUGAGCCCCAUGUUAGGUG